rnacentral:tRNA from 1 species
AGUUAAUAAGCAAAAAUAUGCAUAUAUUUUGAAAAUAUAAAUUAAAGGUUAAAACCUUUAUUAACUU